AGGGCUGUGGCUCAGUGGUAGAGCAUUUGCCUAGCAUGCAUGAGGUACUGGGUUCAAUCCCUGGUACCACAU
rnacentral:tRNA from 1 species